GCAAGUCGAACGAGCGAGAGAGAGCUUGCUUUCUCGAGCGAGUGGCGAACGGGUGAGUAACGCGUGAGGAACCUGCCUCAAAGAGGGGGACAACAGUUGGAAACGACUGCUAAUACCGCAUAAGCCCACGACCCGGCAUCGGGUAGAGGGAAAAGGAGCAAUCCGCUUUGAGAUGGCCUCGCGUCCGAUUAGCUAGUUGGUGAGGUAACGGCCCACCAAGGCGACGAUCGGUAGCCGGACUGAGAGGUUGAACGGCCACAUUGGGACUGAGACACGGCCCGGACUCCUACGGGAGGCAGCAGUGGGGAAUAUUGCACAAUGGGGGAAACCCUGAUGCAGCGACGCCGCGUGGAGGAAGAAGGUCUUCGGAUUGUAAACUCCUGUUGUUGAGGAAGAUAAUGACGGUACUCAACAAGGAAGUGACGGCUAACUACGUGCCAGCAGCCGCGGUAAAACGUAGGUCACAAGCGUUGUCCGGAAUUACUGGGUGUAAAGGGAGCGCAGGCGGGAAGACAAGUUGGAAGUGAAAUCCAUGGGCUCAACCCAUGAACUGCUUUCAAAACUGUUUUUCUUGAGUAGUGCAGAGGUAGGCGGAAUUCCCGGUGUAGCGGUGGAAUGCGUAGACAUCGGGAGGAACACCAGUGGCGAAGGCGGCCUACUGGGCACCAACUGACGCUGAGGCUCGAAAGUGUGGGUAGCAAACA
rnacentral:rRNA from 1 species